rnacentral:rRNA from 1 species
UACGUAGGGGGCAAGCGUUGUCCGGAAGUCAUUGGGCGUAAAGCGCGUGUAGGCGGUCCGGUAAGUCCGCUGUGAAAGUCGGGGGCUUAACCCUCGGAUGCCGGUGGAUACUGUCGGGCUUGAGUACGGAAGAGGCGAGUGGAAUUCCUGGUGUAGCGGUGAAAUGGCGCAGAUAUCAAGGAGGAACACCAAUUGCGAAGGCAGCUCGCUGGGACGUUACUGACGCUGAGACGCGAAAGCGUGGGGAGCAAACAGG